rnacentral:rRNA from 1 species
AGUGAACGCUGGCGGUAGGCCUAACACAUGCAAGUCGAACGGCAGCACAGUAAGAGCUUGCUCUUACGGGUGGCGAGUGGCGGACGGGUGAGGAAUACAUCGGAAUCUACUUUUUCGUGGGGGAUAACGUAGGGAAACUUACGCUAAUACCGCAUACGGCCUACGGGUGAAAGCAGGGGAUCUUCGGACCUUGCGCGAUUGAAUGAGCCGAUGUCGGAUUAGCUAGUUGGCGGGGUAAAGGCCCACCAAGGCGACGAUCCGUAGCUGGUCUGAGAGGAUGAUCAGCCACACUGGAACUGAGACACGGUCCAGACUCCUACGGGAGGCAGCAGUGGGGAAUAUUGGACAAUGGGCGCAAGCCUGAUCCAGCCAUACCGCGUGGGUGAAGAAGGUCUUCGGGUUGUAAAGCCCUUUUGUUGGGAAAGAAAAGCAGCAGGUUAAUACCCCGAUGUUCUGACGGUACCCAAAGAAUAAGCACCGGCUAACUUCGUG